CACCGACAAGAUAAAAGUGCUCAUCUCAGCAUCCUCUCCAAGGCAUCACCCCCCGCGGUGAAACCUAUUCGCUCGGAAAGGCAGCAUAGCAGUCCAACUGUUCUGAAUUCCACCAUGUAAGGAGAUUAUUGACAGGACAGAGUGAUACAGCGCUGAAUAGGCCCUUCGAUCCACGCUGCCACAGCAACCCCCGGCAAACCCGAACCUCCUCACGGGACAUUUUACAAUGAUCAACUAUAUCUUUGGUCUGCGGGAGGAAACCGGAGGACCCGGAGAAAAGCCACGUAUUCCUCACAGAACGGCGCCGGAAUUGAACUCCAGGCUCUGUAAUGGCCUCGCGGCUCUAUUCUCUUGUGUUUCAUCUGCCAUAGAGUUAAUUGUUAGAAAGAUUGAGAGUGAUAAAAGAAAAAUAACUAAUUGAGUGAUGCCAACCUGGAAAUCACUGUCUGAAACAGCAUAUCUCUUACCAUUUAAAAAGCACCUGGAUGAGCAUUGAAGGGCCACAAUGAACAUAAAAUAGUAUAGGAAUAGGCCUGUGGACUCUAUGUGACCAUACUGCUAGUUUAAAUUAAUGGCACUUGCAUAUAUAUAAUCAAUAUUCCUCUAUUCCUUGCCUUUUCACGUGCUUGUCUAAAUGUCCCUAAAUUGUACCUGCCUCCAUCUCCUCCAAUGACAGUAGGUUAAUUGCACCGAGCACUUUUUGUGCAAUAUAAAAACCUUGUAAAGCUUUAAUUAACUUUGCCCUCUCACCUUAAAUCUUUGCCCUCUAGUAUUUGACAUUAACCCCCUGGGGGAGUAAAAAAACAUCAAUCUACCUAAUCAGUGCCUCCAAAUAAUUUUAGAUACUUCUAGCUGGUCAGAAUCAAAAUCACUUGUAUUAUCACAAAUAUGUCGUAGGUGGUGGGGUGGAAAUAUGUCUCCACCAAAGGAGGUGCAAGGCACUGCUUCUCUCUGCUGGCCAGCAAGGUGUAGUACCUGCUUAGCACCCCCCCCCCCCCCACCUCUGAUCAUGGUCAUGUGAAGCCAUGGAAGGAGGUGUUGGAUGGUCGUAUGAGCAGCUGGUACACAUUGCAAGUCCUGGUUAUGCUUCCAAGCGCACAUAAGCACAUAAGCCUCAAAGGGCUUUAAUUUAUCCUACUCCAGUGGUUCCUAGCAUUCUGGGCUAUUUCUCAUCUCUGGAGAGGAAGCACACAAUGAACACUAAGAACUUGAGGCCUUGAAUAACCAACGGCCCCUGGAGAGACCAGAGAACAUGAUUAACCUCUGUGACAUUUUAAAUAAUUAAACAUUUCAUUCAGUAACUACA